rnacentral:rRNA from 1 species
UAAGGAAUAUUGCUCAAUGGGAGAAAUCCUGAAGCAGCAACGCCGCGUGGAGGAUGAAGGGUCUAUGACUUGUAAACUCCUGUAAAGAAGGAAAAAAUUCCCAUUAGAUGGGAGAUGAUGGUACUUCUGGAGUAAGCCCCGGCUAACUACGUGCCAGCAGCCGCGGUAAUACGUAGGGGGCAAGCGUUGUCCGGAUUUACUGGGUGUAAAGGGUGCUCAGGCGGGUUUGUAAGUCAGAGGUGAAAUCUUACAGCUUAACUGUGAAACUGCCUUUGAUACUGCAAGCCUAGAGUAUGGAAGAGAGUGAUGGAAUAUCUGGUGUAGCAGUGAAAUGCGUAGAUAUCAGAUAGAACACCAAUGGCGAAGGCAGUCACUUGGUCCAUUACUGACGCUAAAGCACGAAAGCGUGGGUAGCAAACA